GCAGUCGCCGCGGUAAUACGGAGGGCGCGAGCGUUACCCGGAUUUACUGGGCGUAAAGGGCGUGUAGGCGGCCUGGGGCGUCCCAUGUGAAAGGCCACGGCUCAACCGUGGAGGAGCGUGGGAUACGCUCAGGCUAGAGGGUGGGAGAGGGUGGUGGAAUUCCCGGAGUAGCGGUGAAAUGCGCAGAUACCGGGAGGAACGCCGAUGGCGAAGGCAGCCACCUGGUCCACUUCUGACGCUGAGGCGCGAAAGCGUGGGGAGCAAACCGGAUUAGAUACCCCAGUAGUCCCUGUCUCUUAUAC
rnacentral:rRNA from 1 species